rnacentral:rRNA from 1 species
AUGGCGAUGGCGUCGCCGCCAGCCUGCUCCCUCCUCCUCCCGGCCAUUCCAUCCGCGCCGGCCUACGCUAGUGUCCCACGAGCGCCCCGGUUCCUCACCUGCCCCCGCGCUGUAACGGCCCACCGACCCCUUCCCACGGCCUCCUCACCUAAGGUCGCGGCGCCCGCGGCCAUCGAGAUCCCAGAGGAGUACGCGGAUGAUGUCGAAGCGGUGAACAUCGCGGUGGACGUCACUCAGCUAAUUGGAAAGACCCCAAUGGUAUACCUAAAUAAUGUCGUUGAAGGUUGUGUUGCGAACAUUGCCGCAAAGCUCGAGUACAUGGGGCCUUGCCGAAGCGUCAAAGACAGGAUUGCAUUAAGCAUGAUUAGUGAUGCAGAAGAGAAAGGAUUAAUUUCUCCAAACAAGACCAUUUUGGUAGAACCAACUACUGGGAAUACUGGUAUAGGACUAGCUGCAGUAGCUGCUGCUAGAGGAUACAAAAUGAUAGCAACUAUGCCUUCAUCGAUAGAUGUUGAGAGACGCAUCCUUGUACGUGCAUUUGGAGCAGAUAUUGUGUUAACUGAUCCUACAACAGGACUAAAAGGAGCUGUUGACAAAGCUGAGGAAAUAGUUUCGAAGACACCGAAUGCAUACAUGUUUCAGCAAUUCAACAAUUCAGCUAACAGUGAGAUCCACUUUCAAACCACAGGCCCAGAAAUAUGGGAGGACACACUGGGUACUGUUGACAUACUUGUUGCGAGCAUUGGGACUGGCGACACUAUCACCGGCACUGGGCGCUACUUAAAAAUGAUGAAUAGAGAUAUUAAGGUCAUCGGGGUAGAACCUGCUGAAACUAGUGUGAUUUCUGGCGACAAGCCAGGUUAUAUUCCAAGCAUACUAGAUGUUCAGCUCCUUGAUGAGGUUGUGAAGGUUACCACUGCAGAGGCAGUUGAUGUUGCAAGGCUACUUGCACUAAAAGAGGGCUUGCUGGUUGGCAUUUCGUCAGGUGCUGCAGCAAUUGCUGCUAUAAACGUGGCCAAAAGACCUGAAAAUGCUGGAAAGCUGAUUGCGGUUAUCUUCCCCAGCUUUGGAGAAAGAUAUAUCUCUAGCAUUUUGUUCCGGCCGAUAUACAACUCUGUUCGAAGAAUGAGGAAGAGAUGA